GGAAUGAGGUGCUUGCACCUUAUCUUAGCGGCGGACGGGUGAGUAAUGCUUAGGAAUCUGCCUAUUAGUGGGGGACAACAUUCCGAAAGGAAUGCUAAUACCGCAUACGCCCUACGGGGGAAAGCAGGGGAUCUUCGGACCUUGCGCUAAUAGAUGAGCCUAAGUCGGAUUAGCUAGUUGGUGGGGUAAAGGCCUACCAAGGCGACGAUCUGUAGCGGGUCUGAGAGGAUGAUCCGCCACACUGGGACUGAAACACGGCCCAAACUCCUACGGGAGGCAGCAGUGGGGAAUAUUGGACAAUGGGCGGAAGCCUGAUCCAGCCAUGCCGCGUGUGUGAAGAAGGCCUUUUGGUUGUAAAGCACUUUAAGCGAGGAGGAGGCUACUUAGAUUAAUACUCUAGGAUAGUGGACGUUACUCGCAGAAUAAGCACCGGCUAACUCUGUGCCAGCAGCCGCGGUAAUACAGAGGGUGCGAGCGUUAAUCGGAUUUACUGGGCGUAAAGCGUGCGUAGGCGGCUGAUUAAGUCGGAUGUGAAAUCCCUGAGCUUAACUUAGGAAUUGCAUUCGAUACUGGUCAGCUAGAGUAUGGGAGAGGAUGGUAGAAUUCCAGGUGUAGCGGUGAAAUGCGUAGAGAUCUGGAGGAAUACCGAUGGCGAAGGCAGCCAUCUGGCCUAAU
rnacentral:rRNA from 1 species